ensembl:lncRNA
CACGGACACGUGCCUGGGCUCCAGUUGGGCAUACCUGCAAGACUUGGAGCACAGAAUGAGGCUUUGGUUGUGCUGUGGGGUUGCCAGCAGCCCAUCCCACAGCACUGUCAGUGUUUCAUCAGCCCUGCAUGGCUCUGGCAGCCGUGGCCCUGGAAGGUGUGCUUGCAGCAACAGAGUGCCAGUGAAGGGAACAACCUCACCCACCACACAGCCCAGGACCGGGGAGGUAUCAGAAUGGAUCUGGCCCAUCUGUGGGCGCAGCUGGGAUGAUGUGACUGUUUCCAGCAGCUUUGCUACAGCUCUGCCCUCUGGUGGGUGAAGAAGCAGCCGAGUUCUGCCAUACACAGACACAGGAUCGGGACCUUCUGAUACUCGGUGAGGUCAGACGACGAUUACCUCAAGUGUCCUAUCCCUUCUUUGCAGCACAUUGUUUAUGGUCAGGAGAACGUGCAUGGGCAGGCAGAGCCUGUGCUCCUGGAUCUGCAGCA